UAAGUAUUGCUAAAAGCUAUAAUAUCUUAUUAGUUUCUAAGUACAAUUUUCAUUCCAGAUUUACUUACAUCGGUCACCCUAGUACAACUCUGACUUCAACACCCAAUGACAAUUCUCGCCGGACUUGCGGGCAACUAUAAAUGGUAACCUACAAAUUUGGGCCCUUUUGCAGAGCAGUUGAGAAGAAGAGCAGUUCUCCUUUGGUAUUCCUAUAUAAUUUAAGUUUAGGAUUAGUUUUAGAUCGUAAUUUCUUCAUCGCUCACUUACUAGUGCAGUUGCACAAAGAUAAUAUAAAUUUGAACAACG